CCCAAAAUGCAUUACAAUAACCUCUCUCUGCAGCUGUCCGCCCUUGUUAAUAAAAAAAAAGGAAAAUUCAAGAGUCUCCCUCCGUUGGAUGGCGCCAAAGGCAGAAAAGAAACCAGCCGAGAAGAAACCGGCGGAAGAGAAGAAGACGGUAGCGGAGAAAGCUCCGGCAGAGAAAAAGCCGAAGGCCGGCAAAAAGCUACCUAAAGAAGGCGGCGCAGUGGCUGCGGACAAGAAGAAGAAGCGCACGAAGAAGAGCAUAGAAACUUACAAGAUCUACAUCUUCAAGGUUCUGAAGCAAGUGCACCCUGAUAUAGGGAUCUCUAGCAAGGCCAUGGGCAUAAUGAACUCUUUUAUCAACGAUAUCUUCGAGAAGCUUGCACAGGAAUCCUCGAGACUUGCUAGGUACAACAAGAAACCCACUAUUACUUCGAGGGAGAUACAGACUGCAGUGAAAUUGGUGCUUCCUGGGGAGUUGGCUAAGCACGCUGUUUCUGAGGGUACCAAGGCUGUUACCAAGUUUACUAGUUCUUGAAUUAGGUGUAGCGUUUUAGGUGGUUUGGGUUUCGUGAUUAAAUGGUAAAAUUAGGAUAUUUUCUUCGUUUAGAGUCGGUUAGUUUUCCCUUUUUAGAGUGAGCAGUGUGGCUGUAAUGAUAUAUUCACAAGUGAUAUGAAUGAAUUAUAGUACGGAUCAGCUGAAAGUGCCUUUUAUUCUCUAAUUCAUUGUUCCUUUUUCCUUUUUUGAUUUGUCUUUUGAGUUGCUUUGAUUUGGUAUUGCCUAGAAAUUGAUGCUCUGUUUAAUGGAGAUGUAUUUUGAUGCAUUAGAUCUGUUUUCUAAGUGUUAAUUUGGUUCUUAUUAACAGUUUGUAGUUGAAUAGCACGCCCUGUUGAUUGUUUUGUUCUUUCUUGAAAUUAAUGUUGCUGAAGAGCUUCCCGUUGCAUAUCUGUGUUCAUUUGCUGUGCUUUUAUUUAUUCUUAGUUGCUAGUUCUUUAAAAGGGCAUAUGGAGCGAGGAUCUUCUCUUUCUGCUUGAGUGUUUUCAAAUUUCGGCAAUUUAGGAAUGGCACUGUUUGGAAAAUGAGCAGAUUAGCUUAGAUAAACAACUUCCCUAAAGGCUUCUCCUUCUCACUCUUUUAUUAUUGCUUUUUUAACCUGUUAUGGAUAAAUUAGCAAGCCUAUAAUGCAACAAAUGCAUCUUUGAAGAUUGGGUUAUCAAACUAGAGCUUUAUUAAUUCAUUGUAAUGCACCUUUUCUGUAAGAUUCUUGGAUUGAGGCAAGCAUUUGCAUUUCUAAAGUGUCUACUUCAUGAGCCCUACAAUUGGGUUUGUACAGCAUUUUUUUUCUUCUGUUUG
rnacentral:misc_RNA from 1 species